UACGUAGGGGGCAAGCGUUAUCCGGAUUUACUGGGUGUAAAGGGUGCGUAGGUGGCAAGGCAAGUCAGAUGUGAAAGCCCGGGGCUCAACCCCGGUACUGCAUUUGAAACUGUCUGGCUGGAGUGCAGGAGAGGUAAGCGGAAUUCCUAGUGUAGCGGUGAAAUGCGUAGAUAUUAGGAGGAACACCAGUGGCGAAGGCGGCUUACUGGACUGUAACUGACACUGAGGCACGAAAGCGUGGGGAGCAAACAGG
rnacentral:rRNA from 1 species